rnacentral:rRNA from 1 species
GACGAACGCUGGCGGCGUGCCUAACACAUGUAAGUCGCACGGGACCGGGGCGAACUCCGGUUCAGUGGCAGACGGGUGCGUAACACGUGAGGAACCUGCCCGACGGCGGGGGAGUAGCCGGCCCGAACGGCCGGGUAAUACCGCAUACGAUCGUUUGGGGGCGAUCCCCGACGCGAUGAAAGCAGCCGCAAGGUUGCGCCGAUGGAGGGUCUCGCGGCCUAUCAGCUAGUUGGCGGGGUAACGGCCCACCAAGGCGACGACGGGUAGCUGGUCUGAGAGGAUGGCCAGCCACAUUGGGACUGAGACACGGCCCAGACUCCUACGGGAGGCAGCAGUGGGGAAUCUUGCGCAAUGGCCGCAAGGCUGACGCAGCGACGCCGCGUGUGGGAUGACGGCCU